UUAAGCACUCCAUUGGGAGUUCCACUCCCACUCUUAACUCUUCAACUCAGAACUUUUAGUCCAAACAUGUUAUGCUCGUUUGGCUUCUGCUUCGGCCACUACCACAUGGCACCCUUUCAGCUCCACUUUGGGGCUUAGGUAUUUGUGUCUCACAAGAAUGCAGCCUUAAGUGGGUGGUAAAUUCCAUCCAAGGCUAAAUACUGGUGAGAGACCAAUAGUGUUGCGAGGGAAAGAUGAAAAGGACUUUGAAAAGAGAGUUAAGAAGUGCUUGAAAUUGCUAGGAGGGAAGCAAAUGGAUGCCUUGUGUGCCUCUUUGGUUGUGUGUGGAAUGGCAAGAGCUAGUCUGCCAAGCAAGGCAAGGGCCUAUCCAGCAUGGGAGGACACAGCGGGAUAACGGCUUGUGAGCCUCUAGCUCCCUGCCAAUGUUGCCACUACCUCUGAAAAUGGCGGGGUGCUCCAGUGCCCCGCCAAAUACUGGAACUUGGGUAUUCCAUCCAACCCAUCUUGAAAUAUGG
rnacentral:rRNA from 1 species